CGAAAAGGACAACGGCGGCGACCCGCUGGCGUCAUUUCCGCUUCCGGCCGCGCGGGAUUUGAACCCCAGACGCGUCCGACCCCGUUAGAACCGAACACCGUGCUGAACUCUUUCCCGUGCCGGGGACCGGACUCGGGACUUUGCCCUUGCCAGACAGCCCAGUUCUUCAUCAUGUGGCUUGAGCCACUGGUGGUACACACGUGACUGUCCCUUCAUGAGACUUGUACCACCCGACAGGACUGCCCCAUGCUGCCUGAAGGGACAGCCACGCAGUAUGACAUACAAAUCACAGCCCCCAUCAUGAAGGUGUUUAAAGGAACUAAAUGGCUAUUUGUGGAUUGUCUCAUGAUCACAAAGUGACUGCAUUACCACAGAAAGCGCUGGAUCAAAUCCAGAGCUUCAUGCCUGCGAGGCAAGCGCCCUGACACUGAGCUGCACCCCAGCCCUACAUUCUGAUCUUGAGGCUCAAACAAUAAAGGAUUUCUUUCUAAUCUCCUUCAGACUGUUGGCAAAAUGUAUUUCUGUGUGUCUGUGGAAUCCUGGGCUACUUAUUUCAUCAACGGCAGUAACAGAAGCUGGGCAUGACGGGGCAUGCCUUAAAUCCAAGCUACUGCCUGAAGC